rnacentral:lncRNA from 1 species
GGGGGCCAGGGGUGGGAGUGAGGGUGCGCGAUGGGAGUCGACUCCAGACCCAGUUUAAACUUGAUUUUGUGAGGGGACGAACAGCGUGACAAUUAAAGAAGAUCUAGGAAUCGUAAGUACUGACAGAAUACCUGGAGGGAAGGUGGGACUGGAGAAUAGUUUGUGAAACAGAUCCUGCUGAGGAUGAAUCCAGAACUUCCUGAAGGAUUCCGCUUCUGCUGUGUAGGGACAAGGUUG